rnacentral:rRNA from 1 species
AGAGUUUGAUCCUGGCUCAGAAUGAACGCUAGUGAUAUGCUUAACACAUGCAAGUCGUAUGACUUUUUCAAAGGUAAAAGUCAUGGCGAACGGGUGCGUAACGCGUGAGACUCUACCAAAAAGUUUAGGAUAAACAUAAUCAUUAAAUGAGUGUUGGAUUUUAUCUAAGUGUGAAUACUAAAUCGAAGAAUUUUCGCUUUUUGAUGAGUUUGCGUAGGAUUAGGUAGUUGGUGGGGUAAGCUUACCAAGCCUACGAUCCUUAGCUGAUCUGAGAGGUUGAUCAGCCACACUGGGACUGAGACAAGGCCCAGACUCCGUCUGGAGGCAGCAGUGAGGAAUAUUGGACAAUGAGCGCAAGCUUGAUCCAGCAAUAUCACGUGAGUGAAGAAGGUCAGCAUGACUGUAAAACUCUUUCGUUAGGGAAGAAAAUGACAUUACCUAAAAAAGAAGCUCCGGCUAAUAUCCGUGCCAGCAGCAGCGGUAAAACGGGGGGAGCGAGUGUUAUUCGGAAUGACUGGGCGUAAAGCGCACGUAGACGGCUUUAUAAGUGAUUUUUUAAAAACCAAAGCUUCACUUUGGAAAGACUAAUCAUACUGUUUAGCUAGAGUGAGAUUAAGGAGAAUGGAAUUUCUUGAGUAGGAUUGAAAUCCAUUGAUACGAGAAAGAACACCGGAGGCGAAGGCGAUUCUCUAGAUCUUUACUGACGUUGAGGUGCGAAAGCGUGGGGAGCAAACGGGAUUAGAUACCCUGGUAGUCCACGCCGUAAACGAUGUCUGCUAGAUGUCGGGGGGUUGCCCCUCGGUGUCGCCGCUAACGCAUUAAGCAGACCGCCUGGGAAGUACGGUCGCAAGAUUAAAACUCAAAGGAAUUGACGGGGGCCCGCACAAGCGGUGGAGUAUGUGGUUUAAUUCGAAGCAACGCGCAGAACCUUACCAGUCCUUGACAUGGGGAGUUUGGUUACCAGAGAUGGUUUCCUUCAGUUCGGCUGGCUCCCACACAGGUGCUGCAUGGCUGUCGUCAGCUCGUG